rnacentral:rRNA from 1 species
GACGAAGGGGGCUAGCGUUGUUCGGAAUUACUGGGCGUAAAGCGUGCGCAGGCGGUUCGUUGUGUCUGCUGUGAAAUCCCCGGGCUCAACCUGGGAAUGGCAGUGGAAACUGGCGAGCUUGAGUGUGGCAGAGGGGGGUGGAAUUCCGCGUGUAGCAGUGAAAUGCGUAGAGAUGCGGAGGAACACCGAUGGCGAAGGCAACCCCCUGGGCUGACACUGACGCUCAGGCACGAAAGCGUGGGGAGCAAACAGG